CGAUGUCCCUGAUGAAUUGGUUGAAAGCUCUUCUCAAGACCAGGAAGAAGCACCUAGGACAGGAGUCCUCCUAAUGGUCAAGUAGAAGAAAUUAAGCAAAGAAAACAAUAUUAACACUAGCUCUAUUGCUCAGCCUGUUUUUGGGUUAUUGAAUCUAAGCAUUAAUUGGUAGUUUUUUUUUCACUAGAGAUGAUGAUUUUUAUGCAAGACAUAUAUAAUCAUCUCCAGGUUUGGUUUGUGAUUGUAUAGCAAGUCAAUCAGCUUGGUUAUUAGAUUUCAGAUGGCAUAUGCAUGCACCCUUAGUGGUUGUAAUCUUAUCUUACCUAUAUUGAUUCCUACGUACAGAGUAUUCUACAUGCAACACCUAUUCAUAGUAUUUUAUCAUAUUUAGAGGGCAUUUUGAACAUUUCAUUUCCUUUCUUCCCUUUCCCCUUCUGUGAAUCUUUGUUACCUUUCCAUCAUCAUCACCGCCCCAAGUCAACUCUUGCCGAAGACAUUACGACCAAGCUCAUCAGCAAGUUCAUCACCCUUUUUAACCUGGACUCAGAUUUGCGAUUCCUGCAACAUGCUUUCUGGGCAGCAAAGGAUUGCUGAAGCGACAACGAGAUUUGGGUCAAGGGACGGGGUUUGGACCCGAGUCCAACCAAAUCUAUUUAAGGCCUUUCAGCAAGCGACGUUUCAAGUGUGGUUGAUAAGAGAGAUGAAGGGAAAGAAGUCGGGCAACAAAAUAAAUUCCAAUCUCGAUAAACCUAGUUAACUACACAGAAAAAGCGAUUUACAAUUUAGUUUGCUCCAUUCCCACUACCGAAGCGAGAGGGCAUUUGGGAGGUGCCCAGAAAGUGCUGGAUGAGGAGGAGACAAAUGUCGUUGAAGAUCUAAAAUCACUGUUGUGAGACCACUUUUUGUUGUUUGAUAACUAUCAUCUUGCUUCUGCAAUGUUGUCCAAAAAAUUGACAAAAUUGAACUUUGUUCUGUUUUCUGGAUAACAUAGUGUCAGCUGUUCAUUGCUGAGCAUAAAAUGACUUUUUGUACAUUUUGUGAUGAAUUAUCUUUGUACAUGCAUAAAAUAUUAACUGCUAGGAUGAUAUGCAAUGACAGAAGUUUGCAGCAAAGUCUUACAUAACAUGUUACCUAGCUAUUUCAUAAUCAAAAGCUUUUAUUUGCAGAAGACAACUUGGUUCU